rnacentral:rRNA from 1 species
GCAAGUCGAGCGCCCCGCAAGGGGAGCGGCAGACGGGUGAGUAACGCGUGGGAAUCUACCCAUCCCUACGGAACAACUCCGGGAAACUGGAGCUAAUACCGUAUACGCCCUUUGGGGGAAAGAUUUAUCGGGGAUGGAUGAGCCCGCGUUGGAUUAGCUAGUUGGUGGGGUAAAGGCCUACCAAGGCGACGAUCCAUAGCUGGUCUGAGAGGAUGAUCAGCCACAUUGGGACUGAGACACGGCCCAAACUCCUACGGGAGGCAGCAGUGGGGAAUAUUGGACAAUGGGCGCAAGCCUGAUCCAGCCAUGCCGCGUGAAUGAUGAAGGCCUUAGGGUUGUAAAGUUCUUUCACCGGAGAAGAUAAUGACGGUAUCCGGAGAAGAAGCCCCGGCUAACUUCGUGCCAGCAGCCGCGGUAAUACGAAGGGGGCUAGCGUUGUUUGGAAUUACUGGGCGUAAAGCGCACGUAGGCGGAUAUUUAAGUCAGGGGUGAAAUCCCAGAGCUCAACUCUGGAACUGCCUUUGAUACUGGGUAUCUUGAGUAUGGAAGAGGUGAGUGGAAUUGCGAGUGUAGAGGUGAAAUUCGUAGAUAUUCGCAGGAACACCAGUGGCGAAGGCGGCUCACUGGUCCAUAACUGACGCUGAGGUGCGAAAGCGUGGGGAGCAAACAGGAUAGAUACCCUGGUAGUCCACGCCCGUAA